UACGUAGGGUGCGAGCGUUGUCCGGAAUUAUUGGGCGUAAAGAGCUCGUAGGUGGUCUGUUACGUCUGCUGUGAAAACCCAGGGCUUAACCCUGGGCCUGCAGUGGAUACGGGCAGACUAGAGGUAGGUAGGGAGAAUGGAAUUCCCGGUGUAGCGGUGAAAUGCGCAGAUAUCGGGAGGAACACCGGUGGCGAAGGCGGUUCUCUGGGCCUUACCUGACACUGAGGAGCGAAAAGCGUGGGGAGCGAACAGGG
rnacentral:rRNA from 1 species